GAUGAACGCUGGCGGCGUGCUUAACACAUGCAAGUCGAACGGAAAGGCCUCUGCUUGCAGGGGUACUCGAGUGGCGAACGGGUGAGUAACACGUGGGUGAUCUGCCCUGCACUUCGGGAUAAGCCUGGGAAACUGGGUCUAAUACCGGAUAGGACAAUGGUUUGGAUGCUGUUGUGGAAAGUUUUUCGGUGUGGGAUGAGCUCGCGGCCUAUCAGCUUGUUGGUGGGGUAAUGGCCUACCAAGGCGUCGACGGGUAGCCGGCCUGAGAGGGUGUACGGCCACAUUGGGGCUGAGAGACGACCCAGAGACCUACGGGGGGCAGCAGGGGGGAAUAUUGCGCAAUGGGCGCGAGCCUGAUGCGGCGACGCGGCGUGGGGGAUGACGGCCUUCGGGUUGUAAACUCCUUUCGCUAGGGACGAAGCGUUUUUGUGACGGUACCUGGAGAAGAAGCACCGGCUAACUACGUG
rnacentral:rRNA from 1 species